rnacentral:tRNA from 1 species
UGCAUCGGCCGGGAAUCGAACCCUGGCCGCCCGCGUGGCAGGCGAGAAUUCUACCACUGAACCACCGAUGC